CGCCCCGCGGCAGCACGCGCGCGCACGGAACUCUUCUAAACAAAGUCGUGUCGCUUCGCUGGCUCCGCGCGCGGCGGGGCGGGGCGGGGCCGGGUCACAUACGCCCUCCCUGGGGGGGGGGGGCGGUGGAUAGAGCCCCGGCGAGGCGCGCGUGCGCCCGCCCGUCACAGGCGCGCCGCCACCGCGGCGGUCUCGCGCGGCGGCGGGGGGGCCGCGGCGGUUGGUGGUGCCGCGCAUGCGCCGGUGGGCGGUGCGGGUGGCGGAGCGGCGCGAGGAGCGAUUUCUAAUCGGGCAGCGCCGUGUUUUGGCAUCAGCCGUGGCUUGUUUGGCAGGUCUGGAUGGGGAGACGUGAUGGGAGCAGCAGCAUCCGGCGGCCAGAAUCAAAAUUAACGUGCUCCAUCCACUGUAGCCGCAGAGGCAAAGCAGCGCGACGCGGUUGCUUUAAAAAUAGCAUAUGGAGACUUUUCUAGCAGAUUUGGUGCAGCUGUUCCCCUACCACUUCAUUAUUGCUUCCUGCACAUAAAGUGCUUCCAGUGCUUGAAUAUGAGCAGACAAAACAACCACGCGAUAUAAGGUAAGAAAUACCAGCACAGGUCAUUGUGCAGUACGUAUCAGUUGUCUUGCCUACUAAUAGGAACAAUAUAGUUUAUCCCAAGCUAUUUUGCACUUAUUUACUGGAGAAUAAGAUGGUGCACGCUAGCAAUUAAUGAGGAAUCGCUCAUGCGGUACAAUGCAAAAUUCAAGCUCUAGUUUGCCCUGUGUUAAUCUGAAUUAUUUUCUCAGUCUGAACAGUACAGAAACUGAGGCAAAGCUGUGUGCUGAAGCUGCCCAUGUCAUUAGACAUAGAUGACAUAAAUUCUCAUCCUUGAUUUUUCUGUAAACACUUCAGGACUGUGACAAUUUAAAUAAUUGGAAAAAUGCCCUUGGAAAAGCUGAAUGCUUUAGCAAGAUGUAGAUAACUAACCAUUAUUUUAAAUAAUUUUAAAUAAGCAAAUCAGCAUGAUAUCUUUCUUCAUCAAGCAUACAGUAAAAACAAAAGAGCUACCUAAAAGCCCCUCUUGGCAUACAUUAUGUUCUUCUCUCUGCCUUUACCUUCCCAUAUUUCCAUGUCCCAGGAAAGGGUGUUUUAAGAGUGCUUGGGAGAUGAAAGUUGAGUUAGUUCUGGUUAAAGAGCUGUUAGAAGGUAGAGCUCCCAUCAAAACUGGCGUGUCUCCAGCCCAAUCUACAGAGGUACUAGAAAUACUCUUGCACUGUAUCGAACUUUGCAGCUUUCCCGUGUGGGAAGAAAUGAGGGGUUGGGUAAACAGGUCCUGCAGGGAAGGGAGAGAGGUUGUGCGGUAUUGUUGUUGGGGGGGUGUGGGGUGUGAAUGUUGUUUUGGUUGGUUUGUUUCAAGGUAACUAGGUCAUGUAAGGUUCUUUAGGUAACUAUCCAACGCCUUAACUUCUGUCUGAACACAAGCAGAAAUCUGUAUCUUUAACUCUUGUGUUUUCAUCUAGGUAUCCCUUCUUUUGUCAUGUAACCUGUAGUGUUCUGCAACAGCUUCUCUUUUAAGGUGAAGCUUUAUUGCAUUAAUCUAACCUUGAAGUAAGAAAAAUUAUGAUAACACCAGCAGCAGCCUCUCUAUAUUACAGUAAAGACCUGCAAUAAUCAUAAAAAGCAAAUUCAAUUGCUGCUAUAAUGUUCAUAGCUGAUAGCACCUUGGGAAUUAGGAGAGCUGAAGGCUGAUGGCUACUGGGAAACAUACUCUUGUAGUUAAAGUGUCGGCUGUUACUUCCAGCGUCUCUGUUGACCAUAUGCAGUUGGAUGUCAUCAGCCUUCUGCAACGCUGUCUAUAACAGGAAGGUACCAAUGUACUAUGCUACUCUUCCUUAGGGAAGGAUGCAAUUCUUCACUUACCUGUUACAGUCACUUGAGAAAAUAAUACUGUAUUUGUGAUUCAGUAUUGAAUCAUUCAUGGUGUACAAGAUAGUAGCUGCUCUAACUGUAAUACAGCAGUCAGACGUGGCCACAACCAGAUGAACAUCUGGAAUUCAUUCAUCUCUGGAAGGUGGUUAACGCAUGAACAGAAUAAGGUCUAGAGCCAGACUAAAAAUCUCACGAACCAAUUAAAUUGAAAUUCUGUGAUGUGUCUGACAACAAAAACAUUUCCUUUGACAUUAAGCCAAACUGACAGGUAACUUUUCAAACAGAAGCCAUAGUAGUGCAUCAUUCAAAGUAAGUAAUAAGCAGAAGGCGUAGUGCUCACAGAGGUUUUCUUAUUAAAAAAAAAAACAAACAACCCAACAACAAAAACUGAUGUUCCAAUGACCACCUCAGAUUCUUUAACUAUUUAUGCUAACACUUACCUGUCCACUCUGUAUGCCAGACUUAUCCUAUCUGUAGAAUUGGAUGCUUUAUUCCAGCCUGAAUGUUUUCAUGACAUAGCAGAGAGUUGCAAAUACAUCUUGACUUCUGUUUAAAUCCCAUGAUGGGCUUCAUCCAUUAAAUACAGAUAAUAACAGACAUAGAUCAUAACACAUUUGAGUGCUGUGUGUAAUCUUAGAAGAGAUAAUGCCUAAAUUUGUCCACUACUGAUGCUAAAUGAUCGCUGAAGAAGUGGAAGAUACAGGUUUUAAGCACACCUUUAGUCUGUAAGGAUUCAUAUUUCUAUCUUCUAUACUUAAGGUACUUAAAGCUGUACAACAACUGUGAAGAAGGGUGUAGUAACCCACAGUAUCACUUCUGGUAGAACUGGCCGUUCCUCAGAUUGGAAUAAAGGAGCCAGAAGAAGAGAUAGCUUUGUGAUUCAUCCACUUACGCAAGAGUAGGAAGAGCUGCAUUCUCACGGUUCCUGUGGUUCUAUAUUAAUUAUGUGGUCAUUAAGUUGGGGAAAAUAAAUGCUAAGCUAAACAAAAAAGUAUUUUCCACCUCUGACCUAAAUCUUGUACUGGACAAUUUUCUUGGUAAGGUACAUGUUCCAUAUACUUUAAGUUACUGUGAUAGGAUACUGUUACACAGAUAGAAUGGAGGGGCCUAAAUUCUGCUUCAUAAAAUAUUAAGCAUUUUCUUUAACUCUCAGUAGUUAGAAUCAUAGAAUAGUUUGGGUUGGAAGACACCUUUAAAGGCCACCUAGUCCAACGCCCCCUGCAAUAAGCAAGGGACACCUCCCUCUAGACCAGGUUGCUCAGAGCCCCAUCCAACCUGACCUUGAACACUUCCAGGGAUGGGGCAUCAACAACUUCUCUGGGCAACCUGUUCCACUGUCUCACCUCCCUCAUGUUAGUGAAGGCAUGGGUAACUGUGUUGGGCUUCUCCUUAUAGCACCAAAUAGCCAUAGUUAUGCGUGGAAAAGAUGUAAAUCAAUAUAUAGUAGAAUGUAUUACAUCAAUGUUGAAGAUUGCCAUAGAUGAAUCACCUGUUGGAUUAUAUUUUUCUUUAAGUAGAUAACUUCUAUGGGUAUGGAGUAUACAUGGAGUUUUUUUUAUGUACUGCUGUGUAGGCUUUUCUCCAGAAAAGACAGCAUUCUAGCAACAACAAAAUGCAUGUCUGUCUAGAGAGGGUGGUAAUUCUGCUAGGCCCCCAAGAAAUCUCUGUGCAGUAGAAACAAAGUUUAGAUUGGUUUCAUUUCACACUCUUCAGUAGGAGAUCAAAAAGAAUGUCACGUAUGCCAGUUUUAUUAUAAUGUUGCUGAGAAAGGCAGAAAACUGUGAGAAGGAGGGAAAGAAAAGCAAUCUGAGAAAGCAUAGAGGAGAAAAAGUUACCAGCAAUUAGGGAGAGAAAGUUAAAUCAAGGUACUGCAUUGUAAACAUAAAAUUUACCUACUUUAUCAUCUCGUUCAUAACAGCACUUAAAUUUAAAAGCUGGGGGGGAAAAGCUAAUUAUUCACAGAACAUAUUUGAAUUGUGCAUUUUGAAGGUAUGUUUUACCUCUAAGCUAAUAAACUUCCCUACAUCUUGUAAUUUAUAAACACUUGUAUUGUUUUUGUGUAUUUUACUGUUGGAUCAUCGGUAUUAUUCUUAGCUCACUAAAAGAUGUCAAGUAAUCCCUUGUAUUACACCAUGAACGUUUCCAGUGUUUCUAAUCCCAUGCACAGUCCUGUAGCUUCAGUUAGCGUGCUAACUGCACUUCCCAUCAGUAGGUUCACAAAAUUACUACGUUAGCUAUUCAGCUCCAGGCUUGCGUAGGGGAGAAUUUCAAAUGGCUUCUGGCCUGUCCCUUGUGGAGAACUCGUGUAUGGAAACCCUGUGUGAGCCAGUUUGUGCCACGCAUUGCAGAAGUGGGAGUAUCAGCGAGUGUGUAUUUCUGUAAGUGCUGCUUGACUCUGUGCAGGCACAGAGUCAGCUAACACACAUUCUGGUUUAAAAGACUACAGUAUUAGGACAUCUGGAAAUUAGGAAUAUUAAGAGAUCUUAGCCAUUUUUUCAUAUAUGCCUGUUUUGGUUUUUACCUUCUAUCCAAUUUACACUAGAUAUCUAACCUUAAAACUAUCCAGGAUAACAUUCUGCAUUUUAAUUGACACAGUCAUCUCAACUACAGUAGUGCCCUCAGCAGCUUUUUUUAUUUGCUACGUGUAACUAAAAAUACAAUGUUGAAAGACACAUUUCUGUAUAAGAUAGGUAAUCAAAAGUAUUUUUACUUUUCAUCAUAGUGAGAAGUAUUUUCACGUUCACUACAGGAUUUUUGUUGUUCAGUACAAAAGGAGCAGCAGUUCUUACACAAGAAGUUAUAUUGAACCGGACAGAAAACAUCUAAGUGAAAAACGUCUAAAUAAGAAAACUUUGCAUUUUUUAACACCUUACGGUAACAGGCAAGAAAUUUUGUAUUGGCUGGGCCUUCUAAUAAAAUGUAAUUCAUCAGUCUGAAAAAUCCAGAAUCUUAUUUUUUACUAGAAAUCUCUUUUUCCCCACUCAAAAUACUUUAUUUAUUCCAAGACUUCAUCCUUUUUUAUUUGUUUAAUGGUGAAGAGAGGUAUCUGGAGUGAAAGCUAUAAGGAAAGAAACAGGAAGCAUCCCAUAUCUCGUGCCGUUUUGGUUGGCAUUUGUUGGCUGGUGCAUCGUAAGUCCCUAUUUGACUGUCACUAUAGCUCAAAGGACAAGUCAUAACAAUCAGUAAAACAUAACUGUUGGGCUCGAAGCCAGAAGGUGAACAUUUCUGAGUUGUUGGCUAAUCUAGCAGAUCGGACUCAUUUUGAGCUACAGUCACUUCAUACAAGGUCAUGUGAUCUUACCUAGCUAAUGCUGUAUCUGAUUAUUAUUUAAAAUUGGUUUAUUGCUUGAUUACAGUAAUUCAUUGUUAUAAGUUUAUAAGCACAAUAAAGGGUGGGAUUCACUUGCCUUAUUACAUUCCACUUGAAUCUCCAGAGGGUCUACUUUUCUUUCAUAGUUCCUGUAUGACAUCUGCUAGCCCCGUGCAGAGGUCUCUUACACCUUUUGGAUGUCUGGAGUGGCCACUGCGAGCUCUUGAACAGUCAGCUGAAUCUCACUGUAAAUAUGCAGAAACAUUUUUCUAUUAACCACUUUUGUUCACAGAAUAGUCUGAAAAACAGCUUGGGUCCAGGAUUUUGACAACAACUGAAUUACUCUGUUGAAGGUAAUGCAUUCAUUACUUAGUUUUGGCUUUCAGAAGUGUGUUAGUAUUUUACAUUCAUAAAGUCAUUGUGUUGGGUAGACCACAGAGCACAGAGGCAAGGCAGUAGGCUGAAAAGUUCACUAUGGUGUGAAAAGGUGAAAUGUAUGCAAAAUGGACUAAUGACCUAGAUUUAGAUAUAGUGGUCUGAUAAAAAAAAAUCACUGCAGCUAAAUUUGAAGUGUCUAGAAAGUACACUUUACUCUGUUGGCCAUCUCUCUCUCUUAAAUUUUUAUUGUUCUUAGUUUGAAAUGUUUUGUGUUUGGUCUCUGAUUGUGACUGAAAUAUAGGGAAAGGAAACAGAAUACAUUUCCUGUAUAUUCAAAUGACUUUUGUACAGAUCCAGUUCACGUGAUUCUAGAUAUUCCUGUUCAUUUAGAACAUGAGAAGUUUUCAUGUACACGUUACAACUUUUCUUAUAACUUGGAGAAAGUGGCCUUAAAAAGUUCUAAAGUAGGCAGCUUUAUAUUAUGGAAUUGUGUCAUUCAUAAAUAAAGAUGAUCACUGAAAUGUUAACAUCUCUUACAUAUUGUAUUUGUUUAAAAAUAUAUAUUUGAAAGUUUCGCCGGCAGUUUUCUUCACCUUUCAGGUGUUUACAUAACUUGUCAAACUAAGAGAGAAAGUUUAUGACACAUUGAUGACAGUUUUUUGUUUUUACAGAACAGGUGUGACAGUUGCCUCUGUUUUUAGCACACAUGCACUCCCCCCCACCCCCAACUGUUGUCCUAUCAGUUUAAGGAGCAGAGAAAUGCAAAAAUAAGUUUCCCAGAGAAUAUGUUCCACUACCCAGUUUGCAUAACAAUACUGUUUUCUUACGUAUUAACAAAUGAAUAGUCUGGUCUGACAAUAUGCUCAAAAAACAACAGGUUGUGGGGGGAACUAUAAAGAAAACACUACUUGAGGCAAGGCAGGAAAAAAGUUAUCUUGAAUUUUUGCAACUGUCUUUUGAUUAAAGACGGUUGGCAUGAAAACAGGUAUUAAGUGAUCCAAAUUAGGCAGCCUUCCUUCUUCCCACUGCAGAAAGGUCUGGAAAGUCCCUGUUAUUUGGGAAGCUGGCAAACCACUUCUCUGUUAGAGGUGCAGAGGAGGCACGGCUGGACUUAAAGUAUUUCCCCAUCUCUAACAUUUUUCUACUUGCUUUUAAAAAGUCAUGACAUAGCCGAUCAGAUGGCCAGUUUUCAUGCCAGAAGUAGUCUUCCCCUUAGCAAGUCAAUUAACGUAUACAUCCCUACCUUGUUUUUCCUUCCAGAUAGUCUAUUUAUAGCUAUCCAUCUGAUUUUCAUUACUAGAGGCAUGAUUGAUCUUUUGUCCCAUUUUGAAGUUUGUAUGCACCUGUCUUGCAGGUUAGUAGUGAAAUCAAUUAUCCCUCUAGCUACAGAUAUAUCUUGGUACUUCAUUAGAAGUUUGUCAGAGUAGGCGGAGUCCUUUGUGUUAGAUUGACAACAGGUGAUUAGUGGGGGAGUCAUAGCAAUGUAGGCACAGCUUGCAGGCUCAGGCUUGUACCUGGUGUUACAUUGAUACGCUCACUAUAUUGCUCCAGGAGUUGGGAUUUGGGGAGGUCUGGUAACAAAAAACAACCAACCAAAAACCCCCAGAUCAGGUUUAAUGAGGAGGCUGAAAUACAGAGAUUAAUACAAAAAAAUUAUACAUGGACUUUUCUGUUCUCACACGUGUAAAAUGGUAGAUUAGCAAUGCAGUAAGAUAAGUGAAUAUUACAAAUAUAUUAUGUGAUUAAAAUGACCAUUUUGCAUAUCGUAUUGAUGUAAUUCUGUUGUAUCUUCAUAUGAUUGAUGUGGAGCUUGGUGAAGUGAGUGAGUUACAUUAUUUCAUUCCAACUUUGUCCUCACAAAAACCAAAAACCUGCUGUCUUUUGGCUGCUUGUAAUCAAGAAUUCUGCUAUGUGUGAAAUCAUUAUUUGUGUCUAAUUGCAGACUUUACUGUUCAGUGGCCUUUGUGCCCUUUUGUCUGAAAAGGAUACCUAAAGCACAGCAGCAGCAGAUCACAAGUCAUUGUAUGUAAAUAGUGUGAUAUAAUCCUUCAAAAUGAAUUUAAUCUCAGACAAUGAAAUAAAAAUUAAAUAAUUAUUGAGUGUAUUGCAACAUUCCCUCAUUCUUAAAAAUAAAAAUACAAAAAAAAUUGCAGAAUUCCAUGUGUGGGGUUGGACUAGAUGAUCUCAAGAGGUUUCUUCCAACCUAAACAAUUCUAUAACAAUUAUGAAAAUACAUUAAAUACCAGAUUUUAUUGGUGUUCUGGUUUGUGGUUUUUUAUCUGUAACUUUGGACUUUUUGACAGCAUUGUUUGUUAGAAAUAGUGGAGUUUUGUGUAUAAAUCCGUAUAAAAGUCCAAAUUGUAGGGUUUUGUAGCUGUACCGCAGAUAAUAAUAUGCUUUAAGCUACAUUGUGAUCUCAUUGCCUCUCAUUAAUUGUCAAAUUACCUAAAAUUUCUUUUCGUGUAACCUACUUGUCCUUUUACAUAGAUGUUUUAAGUUAGUGUGUCAGUGCAUGGACCACAAACAAGUAGAGAAGCUUUAGAGAAAUUUCUCCGGUUUCUGAAACGUGAAGUAUUUUGCUUCUCCUCUCGAAAAAUUACACGAUAGAACAAAACUAGGAAGAAAGCACGCACAUCCUUUGCAAAGCCAGUCUGUUGGGUCAUGCGCAGAGAACAGCCAAGCAGUGAGACUGAGAUUGUAUUGACAAGAACAAGAUGAAUGGCCCCCUGGAGACUGUGGGAUGGAAGACUAUAUUGCAUUAAAAUACUACAACUGAAAUAUGGAUAUAUUAAUUCUUUUACUACUACGUUGUCAAGAAGAGUCAUCUCUUCAACCUUUCAUCAUCUCUACCUUCCUUCUACCCCCUUUUAUUCUCUGAUGCACACAUAGCUGUGGCAGACAGGGCCCUAACUCUUACAAGUGGGACAGUAGAUUCUUUCACAUUCAUGAACCAGAACAUGAGAUCUUACAAUGUGGUUUUGUGCUAUCAUUUAAAAACUUACUGAAGCAAUUGCAGACUGUUACUUUUUGUCUCUUCAAGGGCAAUAGUAUUUCAUAAAACAUUGCCCUAAUAAAUAUGUUCAUGUUUUUAUUGUACUUUGUUUUCAAGGUAUUCAAUUUCAUAUGUAAUUAAAUUCAGUAAAGCCAUCUACAUUUCAUUUAUUCUAAAGUUAUUGUCUAUGAUCUUCAAAUACUGACGUUGCUAUUUUCAGUUACUUUGCCUGUGAUACCCAAGGGUUAAGUGAAACAAAUUUUGCUUAGCAGAUCCCAAGACACUAAAGUUGUAUAUAACCUAAUAAAAACUUAGUAUUUGACAACUGAAAUUGCAUCACUUUUGUUUAGUGCAUCUUCUUCCCCUUGCUUUUGUGUUUCUAUAAAUCUGCAUUGCCAGUUGUGACCACACAUACAGUUUUAGAUAUUGUUGAAGCACUUAAAACCCUUAAACUUAAAAGUGAUCAAAAAAAUCUCAGUUGUGUCUCUUAACUGGGGACAUUUCAAACUUACCUGGACUUGUCCGGCCUGGGCAAAUUGAAGCACUUAUGUGGGGUCUUAGUGAAACACAUUUGCACAUCUGUAUAAUGACUUGCCUCUUUUUUCUGUGGGUGGGUUUGCAGGGAGGGGAAGAAGGACUUCCUUCUAUAUACAUGAACAGGACACUGGGUUAAUAGGUGAAUAAGGAAAAUGCAUCAAGCUGGUAAACACUGGAAGAAAAGAGCAGCAGGGAGAUGAGAUACUUGAAUAAGCUUUGGAGAAGGAAGAAUCGGAAGCCAGGGACAGAAAAGCUGGGGGAAAAACCACUGAAGAACGAUACAGUGGUAGAGGCAGAUGUAGCAGAAAGCUUUUAUAUGGAGAACAGCAAGGAAAAACCAAAGUUGAGAGAGUCAUUGGCUUGAGUAGGGUUUUUUUGGCUCCCUUUAAGCUAUUAACACUCCCAAAGAGAGGAGGAAAAAAGUGGCACACAAGCCAAGGCUGCUGAAAGUAGGUUUUUGGGGUAAGAAGGGCGGGUGAACUGUAGGCCUAAGGCAGGAAGCAGGUAUGUCAGAGUCCUGUGAAAGGCCUUCAUUUACGACACCAGAAAAACCCAAUAAAUCCAACCCAAAUCCCCAAAGCCGAAGAGGCUGUAGCCCACAGGAGUGCCAUAUUAAUAAUGAGGAAAAGCAAUUAUCUGUCCUUUGCCCAAAAGAAAAUGGCACAGGAAAAUAGAAGAAUUUACAAAGAUAGUAUGCCUGAGCUAGACACGAUACGCAUGGGCCCACCAGCUGUGACUUGGUGCAGCACACUGACACGAGGGACAAGCCUGCUUCGCCAGUCUCGGAAGCUUAUCUAGAAACUAGAGACCCGUGUGGGGAGCCAGAAAGUCCUGUCUAUACCAACGUGACUUCUGGCCUGUGUUAUUAGCUAGCUCACAUUCUUUAAAUAGAACACAGGACAUAAACUAGUUACCUAAGCUAAGCACUUAUUUUCUUCCUCUGAAACGCAUUUGCAUCCAGAGAUUUCUAACCCAUUAGAAUAAGCUCUAUUUCCAGAAGAUGAAAAUGCACAAAUGCAAUUGCACAAAUAAAAUAGUAGUGCUUUCAGUGCAUUCUUAAAGGAAAGAUCACAAACCCACCUAGUGAUCUUCUACCUUGUGAAGUUUUGCUUCAAAAAUUACCAAGGGCUGGAGUACAUUCUUCACUCUCCUGAAUCAGAGAGUCCUAUAGAGGAUUCAGAGUUUAGU